CGCGUAUUUAUUGAACUGAAAGAACAAAUUACCUACUUCAGGCUGUGGGAAGCGUAUGGAAAUUAUAUUAGAACUUCAGCAAAGUGCACAGCCGCAUAAUACAGAAGCCGGGACUCAGACUGACAGGCAAAUAAGCCAGCUCGUGGAAGGGGCCUCUGGGUGGCAGCUCUGGGCUAUUGGGUGUUGGACAACUAUAGGCAAAACUGAAAUGGAACAGGGGCAGAAAGUAGCACACUGUUACGCUACGCAACCGUUGCUUUCUCAUGAUCUUUAGGAAUUUUACUGGGAUAAUUGUCCAAAUGAAAUUCGAAGCAUCUAUCCAAAUGGUUAUUGAUCAUUAAAAUGCCAUUGUAAAGGGAUGACUCAGAAAUAACAGAGUUUGUUGCUGCUUCUGAGACAAAGAAUUCUUGAUGUCAAGAUUUGAACAGAGAAGAAAAUGAAAUACAGAAUAUGGGUAUCCUUGAAGGUUAAUCAGAGAACCAUUCACGUGCCUCAAGGGAAAAACUUAAAAUGGAUAUGAGAAGUGAAGAAAGUGAUCAUAGGAGAAAAUCAUCUCAGAUCAACCACUUCAGAAGAACCAGAUUCCACUUCUGUGGCCAGGACUUUUAUGUUAUGGCUGGUCCGAUUGUUUUACCCUGCGUUCUAUGCUACUAAACCUUGGAUCAUUCCUAAAGUGUCUGACGAUUUGUGAGCACCAAAUGGCUAUUCUGUGGAGUCAUCUCUCCUUGCCUUUGAAUUAGCUUUCCCUUGGCCAUGAGUCAACAUCAAUAUUUUAUACAUCCAAAUUGGGUGUGCUCUAGUGAGGUCCACCAAGUACACUGACGAAGAUCGCCCAAAUAUAUACAUACAUGUGACAAAGAGAUGAUGUAUUUUUUUCAGCACUUAGAUGCAUCAUAAUGGAAACUCUCUUCCUACUUUGGAAGAAAGAUACUCAACUUGUAUGUUC